rnacentral:tRNA from 1 species
AGAUCUGUGGCUUAGUUGGCUAAAGCUCUUGUCUAGCGAAUUCCGAAUCGUGGGUUCGAAUCCCACCAGAACGC